UACGUAGGGGGCAAGCGUUGUCCGGAUUUAUUGGGCGUAAAGCGCACGUAGGCGGUUCGUUAUGUCGGAUGUGAAAGCCCUUGGCUUAACCGAGGAAGUGCAUCCGAAACUGGCGAGCUAGAGUACGAAAGAGGAUCGCGGAAUUCCCGGUGUAGAGGUGAAAUUCGUAGAUAUCGGGAGGAACACCGGUGGCGAAGGCGGCGAUCUGGGUCGAUACUGACGCUGAGGUGCGAAAGCGUGGGGAGCGAACAGG
rnacentral:rRNA from 1 species